rnacentral:rRNA from 1 species
UAGGGAAUAUUGCGCAAUGGGGGAAACCCUGACGCAGCAACGCCGCGUGAGUGAUGAAGGCUUUCGGGUUGUAAAGCUCUGUUGUACGGGGAAAAUGCUGCUAUGGCUAAUAUCCAUAGCAAGUGAUUGUACCGUAUAAGAAAGGACCGGCUAACUUCGUGCCAGCAGCCGCGGUAAGACGGGGGGUCCUAGCGUUGUUCGGAAUUAUUGGGCGUAAAGCGUGUGCAGGUUGUCUGAAAAGUUGGAUGUGAAAUCCUUGGGCUUAACCCAAGACGUGCAUUCAAAACUGCCAGACUUGAGUAUGGAAGAGGAUCGUGGAAUUCCUAGUGUAGUGGUGAAAUACGUAGAUAUUAGGAGGAACACCGGAGGCGAAGGCGGCGAUCUGGUCCAAUACUGACACUCAAACACGAAAGCGUGGGGAUCAAACAGG